UGUCCCAUGCCGCGGCAGAUCUUGGGGCUCACUCACCGGUCCUCUCCACUCACCCGCCACCUCUCGCCCUCUCCCCUCCCCCUGCCGCAUCGCCGCGCGAGUCGCCGAGCCCGCAAACGCGGGACUCCGCCCGCCGACCACCGCAUCAGUCCCAUGCCGCGGCCGGUCUUAUGGCUCAUUCACCUCUCUUCUCCACUCACUCCAACAUCUCGGUCAUCUCCCCUCCCCCGCCGCAUCGCCGCGCGCGUCGACUGUGCGACUCUGCCCACCAACCACCGCAGCGGCGUGGCUAGGGGCUCCGACGAGCUGUGUGCGGCGCGACCAACGGGGACGGACGCAGUGAGCUUACUGACAUAGGCGCGGGUGCUCGGUCCGGUCCCAUUCCGCUCGCAUCCGCAGCGGUGUUUGUCUCCGGCGAGGUGGCAGGUGGAUCCAAAGCGCGGCGGCUCGAUCUGCAUCGCCAGCAGCUCCGCGCCAUGAACCGGCCUCACAGCCACGGCCAGGAGCGACGAUUGCUCCCCAACUCUGCGGCAUGGUGUGCGCUGACCGUUCGUCCCCAAGUCCCCAACGCUGCCACCGGCCGGAGACACGACGGUUCUCUCGUCCGGCUCAAAGCACGCGCCGUUGUGGCCCGCCUCCCGCUGCAGCAGCUGGCAAAGAAAGCGGAACGCCCCUGCGCCGGCGACAUCGGCAUCUCCAUCGACCGUCUCAGCAACUGCUACCUUGACAGGUGAUGGUAAGCCUGAGCUAGCUGGGUUAUCUGAUUCAACAUGCAUGGUCAAUAUUUAUUUAAAUGGUUGACCCAUGAAUAUGUACAUACAAUCAGACGUACAUACCAUGCAUGUUAAGAUGAAACAUAAAACAAUCUUACUUGAUAUACUAGGGGGACGCAGAUCAAUUUUCCUCUGAUGAUCAUCUCGUGUGGGUUCGUUUAUCUGCCCCAGCUUGUGUUCUGACCCGGUAUUGUUGCAUUGUACCACCAGUUCCUUUCAUGUAUUUUUCUUAGUCUGAUAAGACGUAUGCAUCCCGUCGCUUAAAGCAUCACAACCUAAAAUUAACAGAUCAACAAACGUGCCAUACGCUAUACACCAACAUGAACACCCGUAUGCAUAAAUUAUGUCAUAUGAAAAUGCGGAUUGGUCUGUACCAUAUGAAUCUUCCGGUACAUAAUCCAGUGUUACAUUACUCGGAGCCGACAAGGGAGCAUCAUGAUGGUCUCCUGCCCGUAGCAAUCUUGAUCCAUCUGUAAAGUUGUAACCAAUAGGAAUACAACACCAAUGAAAAACCGUUGAGCAAGUAUGGAGCUACGGGUGUGAUGCUUGCAUAACAUUCUUCAACAUUUGUCGCACCGUCAGUAAUGGACAACUCGCAUGCGCCGAAAUUUCAGAUAGUGUGAAUUAUACAUGUAGGUAAGUCCUCGUCUGGUUGAUGUUCACUUGCCUUGCUUUUUGAAUUCCCCAUAAGCACAUAUGUAACGGCAGCUCCCUGUGAAGAAGAUAACAUUGCUUGAUGUGAAUGGUUAUCAUAUAUUAAUUGCCUUACUUCAAGUUUUACCUUGUGCAAAAAGAUUUAGCAGCAUGUUCUUUAUAGUUCUUUGUUUUUCAUUUAUACAAAUCACCUCAGGUUAUGUUUAUUCAGGUUAUCUUUGCAAAUCACUUAGAUCACAUUGAUACAACAUCUAGGAAAUCAAUAUUGCAAACUUUGCACAUUAAGGAGUAAUCUAUAGUCAGGUUACUAUAACAAAUACUUCACAUACUAUAUGUUUUCCAAUAAAUCUGCUUGAGCUAAUUUGCUGUUUGGUUUUGUAUAUUGUGCUUGAAAUGCUUGCUUGCAGUUUUGAUCUGGCACUGAUCUUAUUAUCAGGGCCUUCAUGAUUUCCUUCUUGGAAUUGCUUGCUUCUAAUUUCUUUGAAAGAUACCAUGAUGCAAUUUUGUUUUUCUAUCUUGUGUAUUCUGCUGCUGAUUCCUGCUGAUUCUUUCUUGCAGUAUGGGUUAUUGUGUGACCGGUUACAGUGUGAUAACAAAUUUUGUAUUUGUGAUUUGUCCCCUCCCCAAGGAAGCUUCUAUAUAAAAGAUCUCAAAAUGCAGGAGCCUAAGAAAAUGCUACAUAAAAGAUGUCAACUUCUAUAUCAGCUAUCUAAAAGAUAUCACCUGUGCCUGAAAUUAUUAUCAGCUUCUUCAUCAAGUAUCAAUUAAUUGCAGCUGGGCUUAACCAUUGUUUUUUAUUUUCUUUGUCGACAGAGAGGCAAGUUCGAGAUUCAAUUGGAUGGACCUUCAUGUUGUUUAUUGAGUUUCUCAUCAGCCAUGGUCUUUCUUAAGUGAUUAUAAUGUCGAAGUAGUACAUUGCAAACAUGUGUAUAAACUGUAUAAUAACAAAACGCGAACCUGGACGCGUUUGGUUGCUGA